CUUUACUCUUUUGAACUUGAACUUCAAAGUUUACCGUAGUUUUGAUGGAACCGAACCUGGAGAACAAAGUUUUCUCUUCCACUCACAUCUCUGGAGCGAGUGCUACCUUCCGCCACCAAUAACAAGGAGUCAAUAAGAAAACAUAGAGAAGAUAGGGAGGAGAUUUCAAAGGAAGGAGGCCGUCAUCAUUGCUUCCAGACAUGAUCAGUUUCAAUAUUGCUGAGAGACUUGGCUUGGAAGAUGCCUUCGUGUUAUUUCUUCCAGUACAUAUGUUCAUGGAUUUUUAAUUUUGAUUGUUUUUUUUUUCAAAUAAAUUUUUGAGUUUCAUUACGUAUAUCAAAGAAGUAGAAAUUCCCCUUUUUUCCUUC